CGCCUCUUGCAACCAAAGUAUAAGAGGUCCUGCCUGCCCAGUGACAUUAAGUUUAACGGCCGCGGUAUUAUGACCGUGCAAAGGUAGCGUAAUCACUUGUCUUUUAAAUAAAGACCAGUAUGAAUGGCAAGACGAAAGUUCAACUGUCUCCCUAAAUUAAUCAAUGAAAUUGAUCUUCCCGUGCAGAAGCGGGAAUAAAAUUAUAAGACGAGAAGACCCUAUGGAGCUUUAAAUAUAUGAUCAACUGUAUAAUAUAAAAUUCAAUAGAUUAAACAUUAAAUAAAACAUUAUGAUCAAAAUUUUAGGUUGGGGCGACCACGGAGAAAAACAAAACCUCCGAGAUGAAAAGAGUAUCUUAAUUUAUGAACUACAGUUCUAAUAAAUAAAAUAUUUAACAUAAUUGAUCCAAUAUAUUGAUCAACGAACUAAGUUACCCUAGGGAUAACAGCGCAAUCCUUUCCAAGAGUCCCUAUCGACGAAUGGGUUUACGACCUCGAUGUUGGAUCAGGACACCCCAAUGGUGCAGCCGCUAUUAAAGGUUCGUUUGUUCAACGAUUAAAGUCCUACG
rnacentral:rRNA from 1 species